UACGUAGAAGACUAGUGUUAUUCAUCUUUAAUAGGUUUAUAGGGUACCUAGACGGAAAAUCAAGCCUUCAUCGGGACUAAUUUUCUAGAGUUUUAUGUGGAAAGGUUCGAAUUACCAGAGGAGAGUCAAAAAUUCUGUUAUACUGGUAGGACGGAUAACGGCGAAGGCAACCUUUUAUGUAAUAACUGACGUGAGGACGAAGCCUUGGGUAGCAAUAAGG
rnacentral:rRNA from 1 species